GGAUGUGAGGGCGAUCUGGCUGCGACAUCUGUCACCCCAUUGAUCGCCAGGGUUGAUUCGGCUGAUCUGGCUGGCUAGGCGGGUGUCCCCUUCCUCCCUCACCGCUCCAUGUGCGUCCCUCCCGAAGCUGCGCUCGGUCGAAGAGGAUGACCAUCCCCGCUAGAGGAGGACCGGUCUUUGGUCAAGGGUAUACGAGUAGCUGCGCUCCCCUGCUAGAACCUCCAAACAAGCUCUCAAGGUUAAGCGAUAUGCACUGUGUACCUUUCUAGAACAUUUAGGCAGUUGAAGUUAAAUAAAGAAUUUCAUGUCCCUAUUUCUAG
rnacentral:snRNA from 1 species